AGCGGCGGAAGGGUGAGGAACACGUGGGUAAUCUGCCCUCGAGUUUGGGAUAACCCCGCGAAAGCGGAGCUAAUACCGGAUAUGGUCAUCUGUCGCAUGGCGGAAUGAUUAAAGGUGGGGAUUCUUCGGAACCUGCCGCUUGAGGAGGAGCCUGCGUCCCAUCAGCUUGUUGGUAGGGUAACGGCCUACCAAGGCUUACGGGUAGCUGGUCUGAGAGGAUGGUCAGCCACACUGGGACUGAGACACUGCCCAGACUCCUACGGGAGGCUGCAGUCGAGGAUCAUUGUCAAUGCGCGAAAGCGUGAACAUGCGACGCUGCGUGGAGGAUGAAGGCCUUCGGGUUGUAAACUCCUGUCAUUCGGGAAUAACGGCGGUCAGGGGAAUACCCUGGCCGUGUGAAGGUACCGGAAGAGGAAGCCACGGCUAACUCUGUGCCAGCAGCCGCGGUAAUACAGAGGUGGCGAGCGUUGUUCGGAUUUACUGGGCGUAAAGGGUGCGUAGGUGGUACCGUGUGUCGGGUGUGAAAGCCCACGGCUCAACCGUGGAACUGCAUCCGAAACUGCGGAACUUGAGUACAGGAGGGGAGAGCGGAAUUCUUGGUGUAGCGGUGAAAUGCGUUGAUAUCAAGAAGAACACCGGUGGCGAAGGCGGCUCUCUGGAAUGUAACUGACGCUGAGGCACGAAAGCUGGGGGAGCAAACAGGAUUAGAUACCCUGGUAGUCCCAGCCGUAAACGGUGUCGACUUGGUGUGGGGGGAAUUGACCCCCUCCGUGCCGGAGCUAACGCGUUAAGUCGACCGCCUGGGGAGUACGGCCGCAAG
rnacentral:rRNA from 1 species